UAAUAAAUAUCUAAAUUUUAAGUAUAUCAUUUACAAUGAUAAGAUGUUUUGUUAACUUUAUUUA
rnacentral:tRNA from 1 species